GGGUCAGUAGGUUGGUCGUGCCACCGGUACGUACUGGUCUCACUGAUUCCUCCUUCCUGAAGAACCGUAAUGCCAUUAAUUUGGUGUUGCGGGGAAACAGGACUGUUACUUUGAAAAAAUUAGAGUGUUUAAAGCAAGCUAACGCUUGAAUACAUUAGCAGGGAAUAAUGAAAUAGGACGAUCGAUCCUAUUUUGUUGGUUUCUAGGAUUGACGUA
rnacentral:rRNA from 1 species